GGUGCUUGCACUUGAGCGAUUUAACAUUGAGACGAGUGGCGAACUGGUGAGUAACACCUGGGUAACCUGCCCUUGAAGUAGGGGAUAACACUUGGAAACAGGUGCUAAUACCGUAUAACAACCAAAACCACCUGGUUUUGGUUUAAAAGACGGCUUCGGCUGUCACUUUAGGAUGGACCCGCGGCGUAUUAGCUUGUUGGUAAGGUAACGGCCUACCAAGGCGAUGAUACGUAGCCGACCUGAGAGGGUAAUCGGCCACAUUGGGACUGAGACACGGCCCAAACUCCUACGGGAGGCAGCAGUAGGGAAUCUUCCACAAUGGACGAAAGUCUGAUGGAGCAACGCCACGUGAGUGAUGAAGGGUUUCGGCUCGUAAAACUCUGUUGUUGGAGAAGAACAGGUGUCAGAGUAACUGUUGACAUCUUGACGGUAUCCAACCAGAAAGCCACGGCUAACUACGUGCCAGCAGCCGCGGUAAUACGUAGGUGGCAAGCGUUGUCCGGAUUUAUUGGGCGUAAAGCGAGCGCAGGCGGUUUUUUAGGUCUGAUGUGAAAGCCUUCGGCUUAACCGGAGAAGUGCAUCGGAAACCGGGAGACUUGAGUGCAGAAGAGGACAGUGGAACUCCAUGUGUAGCGGUGAAAUGCGUAGAUAUAUGGAAGAACACCAGUGGCGAAGGCGGCUGUCUGGUCUGUAACUGACGCUGAGGCUCGAAAGCAUGGGUAGCGAACAGGAUUAGAUACCCUGGUAGUCCAUGNCCGUAACGGUGAGUGCUAAGUGUUGGAGGGUUUCCGCCCUUCAGUGCUGCAGCUAACGCAUUAAG
rnacentral:rRNA from 1 species